AGAGUUUGAUCCUGGCUCAGGACGAACGCUGGCGGCGUGCCUAAUACAUGCAAGUCGAACGCUUCUUUUUCCACCGGAGCUUGCUCCACCGGAAAAAGAGGAGUGGCGAACGGGUGAGUAACACGUGGGUAACCUGCCCAUCAGAAGGGGAUAACACUUGGAAACAGGUGCUAAUACCGUAUAACAAUCGAAACCGCAUGGUUUUGAUUUGAAAGGCGCUUUCGGGUGUCGCUGAUGGAUGGACCCGCGGUGCAUUAGCUAGUUGGUGAGGUAACGGCUCACCAAGGCCACGAUGCAUAGCCGACCUGAGAGGGUGAUCGGCCACAUUGGGACUGAGACACGGCCCAAACUCCUACGGGAGGCAGCAGUAGGGAAUCUUCGGCAAUGGACGAAAGUCUGACCGAGCAACGCCGCGUGAGUGAAGAAGGUUUUCGGAUCGUAAAACUCUGUUGUUAGAGAAGAACAAGGAUGAGAGUAACUGUUCAUCCCUUGACGGUAUCUAACCAGAAAGCCACGGCUAACUACGUGCCAGCAGCCGCGGUAAUACGUAGGUGGCAAGCGUUGUCCGGAUUUAUUGGGCGUAAAGCGAGCGCAGGCGGUUUCUUAAGUCUGAUGUGAAAGCCCCCGGCUCAACCGGGGAGGGUCAUUGGAAACUGGGAGACUUGAGUGCAGAAGAGGAGAGUGGAAUUCCAUGUGUAGCGGUGAAAUGCGUAGAUAUAUGGAGGAACACCAGUGGCGAAGGCGGCUCUCUGGUCUGUAACUGACGCUGAGGCUCGAAAGCGUGGGGAGCAAACAGGAUUAGAUACCCUGGUAGUCCACGCCGUAAACGAUGAGUGCUAAGUGUUGGAGGGUUUCCGCCCUUCAGUGCUGCAGCUAACGCAUUAAGCACUCCGCCUGGGGAGUACGACCGCAAGGUUGAAACUCAAAGGAAUUGACGGGGGCCCGCACAAGCGGUGGAGCAUGUGGUUUAAUUCGAAGCAACGCGAAGAACCUUACCAGGUCUUGACAUCCUUUGACCACUCUAGAGAUAGAGCUUCCCCUUCGGGGGCAAAGUGACAGGUGGUGCAUGGUUGUCGUCAGCUCGUGUCGUGAGAUGUUGGGUUAAGUCCCGCAACGAGCGCAACCCUUAUUGUUAGUUGCCAUCAUUCAGUUGGGCACUCUAGCAAGACUGCCGGUGACAAACCGGAGGAAGGUGGGGAUGACGUCAAAUCAUCAUGCCCCUUAUGACCUGGGCUACACACGUGCUACAAUGGGAAGUACAACGAGU
rnacentral:rRNA from 5 species